rnacentral:rRNA from 1 species
CCUACGGGAGGUAGCAGUGGGGAAUAUUGCACAAUGGGGGAAACCCUGACGCAGCGACGCCGCGUGAGUGAAGAAGUAAUUCUUUAUGUAAAGCUCUAUCAGCCGGGAAGCAAAUGACGGUACCUGAGUAAGAAGCCCCGGCUAACUACGUGCCAGCAGCCGCGGUCAUACGUAGGGGGCACGCGUUAUCGGGAUUUAGUGGGUGUAAAGGGAGCGUAGACGGCGGUGCAAGUCUGGAGUGAAAGUCGGGGGCUCAACCCCCGAACUGCUCUGGAAACUGUGGGGCUAGAGUGCAGGAGUGGUAGGUGGAAUUCCUAGUGUAGCGGUGAAAUGCGUAGAUAUUAGGAGGAACACCAGUGGCGAAGGCGGCUUACUGGACUGUAACUGACGUUGAGGCUCGAAAGCGUGGGGAGCAAACAGGAUUAGAUACCCCAGUAGUC